UUAAAAUUGGAUUCCUGAGAGCAAUCCACGAAAACAAAAGAACGCUGAAGAAACACAUGACAGAGUCCUGGCAGUUACUGAGAGCUUCCUGUGAUCCGCUUCAGAUACUGAUUCGCAGCUUUUGCAUACACACAAUACAGAAAUGUUCUGAAUGGAGCGCGAAGGGCGGGGGAGAAAGAUGAUACGACGUGAGAGGUCAGACGGGAGAACAGUGAGUGAGACGGGGCACAGAAACCGCAGGCUCUGGUGUUUACUAGGAGCGACAGAAAUUAUAAUGGAGGGUUCAAGUUCUACCUGCUCCAGAGGCAUCUCGGAACGAGGUUGACUAAAAAAGUCAAUACACAGCAGGAAGAACAUCAGGUAUCACAUUUCCACUAUUCCACUAUCAUCUACACGGCAAAGCCAUGAAUGGCUAUGGGUCAUCAAGC